rnacentral:rRNA from 1 species
UACAGAGGUCUCAAGCGUUGUUCGGAUUCAUUGGGCGUAAAGGGUGUGUAGGUGGCGCGCUAAGUCGGGUGUGAAAUUUCGGAGCUUAACUCCGAAACUGCAUUCGAUACUGGCGUGCUUGAGGACUGGAGAGGAGACUGGAAUUCCUGGUGUAGCAGUGAAAUGCGUAGAUAUCAGGAGGAAUACCGAUGGCGAAGGCAGGUCUCUGGGCUAUAACUGACGCUCAUGCACGAAAGCGUGGGGAGCAAACAGG